rnacentral:rRNA from 1 species
AUACGGAGGGUGCAAGCGUUAAUUGGAAUUACUGGGCGUAAAGCGCGCGUAGGCGGCUAAGUAAGUCGGAUGUGAAAGCCCUGGGCUUAACCUGGGAAUUGCAUUCGAUACUGCUUGGCUAGAGUAUGGUAGAGGGUAGUGGAAUUCCUGGUGUAGCGGUGAAAUGCGUAGAUAUCAGGAGGAACAUCAGUGGCGAAGGCGGCUACCUGGACCAAUACUGACGCUGAGGUGCGAAAGCGUGGGGAGCAAACAGGAUUAGAAACCCCGGUAGUCC